GAUGAAGAACGCAGUGAAAUGCGAUAAGUAAUGUGAAUUGCAGAAUUCAGUGAAUCAUCGAAUCUUUGAACGCAUCUUGCGCUCCUUGGUAUUCUGAGGAGCAUGCCUGUUUGAGUGUCAUUAAAUUCUCAACUACACUGACUUUGAAUUGGUGUGGCUUGGAUUUGGGGGGAAAAUUGUUGUGGGCUUUUUGUAUAGUCUGCUCCCCUGAAAUUGAUUAGCGGUACCUUUGUGGAACUGUCUACAGGUGUGAUAAUUAUCUACAUCCUAGACAUCUGCUGGAAUGCUGCUUUCUAAACCUUACUUGUAUUGACAAUCUUGACCUCAAAUCAGGUAGGACUACCCGCUGAACUUAAGCAUAUCAAUAAGCGGAGGA
rnacentral:misc_RNA from 1 species